rnacentral:lncRNA from 1 species
UUAGAAUUAUUUUUAACUUCUGAUUUUUGGGAUGAGGGUUGACCAAUGUCUCAUGGUCAACCUGAUCUUUUAUUGGAAUUUUAUUUCCCAUUUUUAAUUUAUUCUUGAUUUAUUUCUAACCUAGUCUUGUUGUUGCACUUUUGGUUUGACCUUUGUUUUGAUUCAAUUAAUUCAAUAACUAAUUUUCAUUAUUUUUAGAAUCUUUCUGGGGGAUGAUGAUGUCCUGAC